UACCAGACUCCUACGGGAGGCAGCAGUGAGGAAUAUUGGUCAAUGGGCGGGAGCCUGAACCAGCCAAGUCGCGUGAGGGAAGACGGUCCUACGGAUUGUAAACCUCUUUUGCCGGGGAGCAACGGGGUCCUUGCGAGGGCCCGAUGAGAGUACCCGGAGAAAAAGCAUCGGCUAACUCCGUGCCAGCAGCCGCGGUGAUACGGAGGAUGCGAGCGUUAUCCGGAUUUAUUGGGUUUAAAGGGUGCGUAGGCGGGCUGUUAAGUCAGCGGUAAAAUGUCGGGGCUCAACCCCGGCCUGCCGUUGAAACUGGCGACCUCGAGUGGGCGAGAAGUAUGCGGAAUGCGUGGUGUAGCGGUGAAAUGCAUAGAUAUCACGCAGAACUCCGAUUGCGAAGGCAGCAUACCGGCGCCCGACUGACGCUGAGGCACGAAAGCGUGGGUAUCGAACAGGAUUAGAUACCCCGGUA
rnacentral:rRNA from 1 species